UAUGUGAUCGUCUCUCGCAUAUCAAUAAGCGGAGGAAAAGAAACUAACAAGGAUUCCCUUAGUAACGGCGAGUGAAGCGGGAAGAGCUCAAAUUUGAAAUCUUCAAGGUUUUACCUUGACGAAUUGUAGUUUAAAGAAGUGUUUUCUGUUGAAGUUUUGGUAAAAGUUCUUUGGAAUAGGACACCAUAGAGGGUGAGAAUCCCGUAUUUGACCAUUAUUUUCAGCUGUGUGAUACACUUUCAAAGAGUCGGAUUGUUUGGGAAUGCAGUCCAAAAUGGGUGGUAAAUUCCAUCUAAAGCUAAAUAUUGGCGAGAGACCGAUAGCGAACAAGUACCGUGAGGGAAAGAUGAGAAGAACUUCGAAAAGAGAGUUAAACAGUACGUGAAAUUGUCAAAAGGGAAGCGUUUGACACCAGUGUUGUUUUCUCGAAAAUCAAUUAAAAAGAGUUAGAUUUUGUUGUGUACUGACCUUAACAGCUUGCAUUUCAAUUUUCUUGCUUUUUUUAAUGCACUUUUCGUUUAACAAGUCAACAUCAGUUUCUUUUGUUGUAAAAAGGUCAUUGGAAGGUGGCUUUCCUUUCGGAGAAAGUGUUUAUAGCCUUUGACUCCUGCAAUCGGAGAGACUGAGGUCUGCAGCGUAGAUCCUUCGGGGUUAGAUACAUUUGUGCUAAGUUAUAGCUUUUUAUAGACAACUUGUUGACUAUGAUUAGUCUUGUAGCUUACUCGCUUAUGCUAUUUUACCUACGCUUAGGAUGUUGAAGAUGUAGCACAUCAU
rnacentral:rRNA from 1 species